AACGCACAUUGCACCCCCUGGUAUUCCGGGGGGUAUGCCUGUCCGAGCGUCAUUUCUGCCCUCAAGCACGGCUUGUGUGUUGGGCCCUCGUCCCCCCGGGGACGGGCCCGAAAGGCAGCGGCGGCACCGCGUCCGGUCCUCGAGCGUAUGGGGCUUUGUCACCCGCUCUUGUAGGCCCGGCCGGCGCUGGCCGACGCUGAAAAGCAACCAAUUAUUUUUCCAGGUUGACCUCGGAUCAGGUAGGGAUACCCGCUGAACUUAA
rnacentral:misc_RNA from 1 species